AUUUAGGUGUUUGAUGCAUAUGGAAUUUUGAUUUCCAUGGGUUUAGUUAAAUUCUAAAAAAUAUAA
rnacentral:tRNA from 1 species